GACUGAAGUGCUGGCGGUGGGCAGCGCAGAUGUGGAGGACAUAGCUUUUCAGAGGCUGAAGCACCCUCUGGGAAAGGCACAGAGCAGUGGCCCCUUGACAAACAGCUCGGGAAAUAUAAGGAUAAUAAUAAGGAAGGUUGAUUAAUCCCUGCAAAAUAAGAGGGAUAAACUUCACUGAGUCUGAAUUUGGGGCAAAGUCCCAGGAUCCUGGAAUCUUUCCUGCAUCACAAGGACAGAAAUGAGUUUACUUGAGCAC